rnacentral:tRNA from 1 species
GUAGACGAGCUGGAGGAUGUGACCUGGGACACUCAUAAUCCCUUGGCCGUGGGUUCGAGCCCCACCCGCCCCA